rnacentral:rRNA from 1 species
GAUUGAACGCUGGCGGCAUGCCUUACACAUGCAAGUCGAACGGCAGCAUGAUCUAGCUUGCUAGAUUGAUGGCGAGUGGCGAACGGGUGAGUAAUACAUCGGAACGUGCCCUGUAGUGGGGGAUAACUAGUCGAAAGAUUAGCUAAUACCGCAUACGACCUGAGGGUGAAAGUGGGGGACCGCAAGGCCUCAUGCUAUAGGAGCGGCCGAUGUCUGAUUAGCUAGUUGGUGGGGUAAAGGCCCACCAAGGCGACGAUCAGUAGCUGGUCUGAGAGGACGAUCAGCCACACUGGGACUGAGACACGGCCCAGACUCCUACGGGAGGCAGCAGUGGGGAAUUUUGGACAAUGGGCGAAAGCCUGAUCCAGCAAUGCCGCGUGUGUGAAGAAGGCCUUCGGGUUGUAAAGCACUUUUGUCCGGAAAGAAAUGGCUCUGGUUAAUACCUGGGGUCGAUGACGGUACCGGAAGAAUAAGGACCGGCUAACUACGUGCCAGCAGCCGCGGUAAUACGUAGGGUCCAAGCGUUAAUCGGAAUUACUGGGCGUAAAGCGUGCGCAGGCGGUUGUGCAAGACCGAUGUGAAAUCCCCGAGCUUAACUUGGGAAUUGCAUUGGUGACUGCACGGCUAGAGUGUGUCAGAGGGGGGUAGAAUUCCACGUGUAGCAGUGAAAUGCGUAGAGAUGUGGAGGAAUACCGAUGGCGAAGGCAGCCCCCUGGGAUAACACUGACGCUCAUGCACGAAAGCGUGGGGAGCAAACAGGAUUAGAUACCCUGGUAGUCCACGCCCUAAACGAUGUCAACUAGUUGUUGGGGAUUCAUUUCCUUAGUAACGUAGCUAACGCGUGAAGUUGACCGCCUGGGGAGUACGGUCGCAAGAUUAAAACUCAAAGGAAUUGACGGGGACCCGCACAAGCGGUGGAUGAUGUGGAUUAAUUCGAUGCAACGCGAAAAACCUUACCUACCC